rnacentral:tRNA from 1 species
GGUGGGGUGCCGGAGCGGUCAAACGGGAUGGUUUCGAAAACCAUAUCGCGUAAGCGAUACGCGAGUUCGAAUCUCGCCCCCACCGCCC